rnacentral:rRNA from 1 species
GAUCAACGCUGGCGGCGUGCAUGAGACAUGCAAGUCGAACGGACACUCACGGGCUUGCCUGUGAGUGUUAGUGGCGGACGGCUGAGUAACGCGUAGGUGACCUGCCCCGAAGUGGGGAAUAACUGCCCGAAAGGGUGGCUAAUACCGCAUGUGGUGAUGCGUUCAGACGCAUCAGUAAAGCCGCAAGGCGCUUCGGGAGGGGCCUGCGUCCGAUUAGCUCGUGGUGAGGUAACGGCUCACCAAGGCGACGAUCGGUAGGUGGUCUGAGAGGACGAUCACCCAGACUGGGACUGAGACACGGCCCAGACUCCUACGGGAGGCAGCAGUCGGGAAUUUUGCGCAAUGGACGAAAGUCUGACGCAGCAACGCCGCGUGAGGGAU